rnacentral:rRNA from 1 species
GAUGAACGCUGACAGAAUGCUUAACACAUGCAAGUCGAUGGGGAAGUGGUGCUUGCACCAUGGCAACCAUGGCGGACGGGUGAGUAACGCGUAAGGGACUUACCUGCAGGACUGGGAUAACAGGGGGAAACUCCUGACAAGACCGGAUAAUGUCAUGGAGCUGCACGGCUUUAUGAUGAAAGGAGACGCCUGCGGAGAGCCUUGCGUCCUAUUAGCUAGUUGGUGAGGUAAUGGCUCACCAAGGCGAAGAUAGGUAGCCGGCCUGAGAGGGUGGACGGCCACAAGGGGACUGAGAUACGGCCCUUACUCCUACGGGAGGCAGCAGUGGGGAAUAUUGGACAAUGGGGGCAACCCUGAUCCAGCAAUUCUGUGUGCACGAAGAAGGUUUUCGGAUUGUAAAGUGCUUUCAGCAGGGAAGAAGUAAGUGACGGUACCUGCAGAAGAAGCGACGGCUAAAUACGUG